UACGUAGGGGGCUAGCGUUGUCCGGAAUCAUUGGGCGUAAAGAGCGUGUAGGCGGCCCGGUAAGUCCGCUGUGAAAGUCGGGGGCUCAACCCUCGAAUGCCGGUGGAUACUGUCGGGCUAGAGUGCGGAAGAGGCGAGUGGAAUUCCUGGUGUUGCGGUGAAAUGCGCAGAUAUCAGGAGGAACACCGAUUGCGAAGGCAGCUCGCUGGGACGUUACUGACGCUGAGACGCGAAAGCGUGGGGAGCAAACAGG
rnacentral:rRNA from 1 species